rnacentral:lncRNA from 1 species
UGGGCCUUCCUGCCCGUGCUGCCCCAGCCCACAGCUCCUGCCCACUCAGUCCUUUUGUAGGAUCUCUUGGUGAAGGAAAUUCUUCUACCACUGGGGUCACCAGCCUUCUCUAUGUCACUUCACAAGGCACCAACAUUCAGAACAACCCCUCAAAGACAAAAGUCACAGCAAAAUAAGUCCUCCUUGAUAGGC